UACGAAGGGGGCUAGCGUUGCUCGGAAUUACUGGGCGUAAAGCGCACGUAGGCGGAUUGUUAAGUCGGGGGUGAAAUCCUGGAGCUCAACUCCAAAACUGCCUUCGAUACUGGAGAGCUCGAGUCCGGGAGAGGUGAGUGGAACUGCGAGUGUAGAGGUGAAAUUCGUAGAUAUUCGCAAGAACACCAGUGGCGAAGGCGGCUCACUGGCCCGGUACUGACGCUGAGGUGCGAAAGCGUGGGGAGCAAACAGG
rnacentral:rRNA from 1 species